rnacentral:ncRNA from 1 species
CUAUGGUUUUCAAAAAACUAUGGCGGAAGGAG